GAUGAACGCUGGCGGCGUGCCUAAUACAUGCAAGUCGAGCGAACAGAUGAGGAGCUUGCUCCUCUGACGUUAGCGGCGGACGGGUGAGUAACACGUGGAUAACCUACCUAUAAGACUGGGAUAACUUCGGGAAACCGGAGCUAAUACCGGAUAAUAUAUUGAACCGCAUGGUUCAAUAGUGAAAGACGGUUUUGCUGUCACUUAUAGAUGGAUCCGCGCCGCAUUAGCUAGUUGGUAAGGUAACGGCUUACCAAGGCAACGAUGCGUAGCCGACCUGAGAGGGUGAUCGGCCACACUGGAACUGAGACACGGUCCAGACUCCUACGGGAGGCAGCAGUAGGGAAUCUUCCGCAAAGGGCGAAAGCCUGACGGAGCAACGCCGCGUGAGUGAUGAAGGUCUUCGGAUCGUAAAAUUCUGUUAUUAGGGAAGAACAAAUGUGUAAGUAACUAUGCACGUCUUGACGGUACCUAAUCAGAAAGCCACGGCUAACUACGUG
rnacentral:rRNA from 1 species